CACGUAGGGGGCGAGCGUUGUCCGGAUUUAUUGGGCGUAAAGGGCUCGUAGGCGGUUGGGUAAGUCAGAUGUGAAACCUCCAGGCUCAACCUGGAGACGCCAUCUGAUACUGCCCUGACUGGAGUUCGGUAGAGGAGUGUGGAAUUUCUGGUGUAGCGGUGAAAUGCGCAGAUAUCAGAAGGAACACCAACGGCGAAGGCAGCACUCUGGGCCGAUACUGACGCUGAGGAGCGAAAGCAUGGGGAGCGAACAGG
rnacentral:rRNA from 1 species